GCAGUUUAGAAGGACCAGGCUCCCCAGGUUUAUGGGGAAGGGAGAUCAUGCUUUUUAAGCAGGAAAUGAUUUCCCUACUCACCAACGCUUUGGGAUGCCGAACCUUUUGCCACUAGAGGGCUGCUUCCCAUCCAGCACAGCCGACGGGACUGAAAAAGAGCACCACGCAAAGUCAUUUUUCAGCCUCCUGUUCCCGCUCCGUCUCCUUACCACCAGUCAGUGGCAACAAGAGGGCCCCUGCAUUCGGACACCGCGCAGAGUCUGAAAACUGGGUUCGUUGGGGCUUCUUGCAAACACAAUUCAACCUGAAGCCGUUUCCUCUGGAAAUGCUUGUGCAGGCGAAAUCUGUUGCUCCAGCAGGUGGCCUCCGAUCCUUGCCGAGCUGCUGUGGGUGUGGUGCAGACAGAAAUACACACCAGUCAAGUGGGAAAGAAAAAAAGAAAUCAAAGUGAAGUAGCAUCAGGAAGAAAGAGGAUGGGGAUGGGAAGAGUCCUUACAAGGCAAUUUCCUCCUCCCCAGGCCAUCCUAGAUUUCAAGCCAUCCCAGAGACUGAAUCAUGCA